GGCCAUGUUUCCUGGGGGACCAUGGUAGGGGUGCACUAGGUCUCGUCCAAGGCAGCUGCAGAGGGUCAGGUUACAGCAAUGUAGGUCACAUGCUCCAGCCUGGGCAGACCAAGGAUCCAGCACAUUAUCUGGCCCCAGCCUUUCCCUGUCACUGCUCCAGCAUGCUGCAGCCUGGGCUCUGGAUGGCCCUGGCCCCUCUGCUUGGUGCCCUCAGUGCAGGAUAUUAUUGCCCAGGAGGGGCAUGGACCGCCAGACCUCUCAGCAGCCCAUGGGGAGACCUUGGCCCUGUGGGCCACAUCUGCCCUGAAGGCUCACUGGGGGCCACACCUCAGCCAGAUGGGCAGCACAGCAAUGGAUCAGGAGCCAGAGUCACCCACCUGGACAGACACAUCCACGCCAUGGCAGGCGGCCCCUGCCCUCCAGGCCACUUCUGUCCAGUGGGCACAGAGGGACCCCUGCCCUGCCCUGUGGGCACCUUCUCAGAUCGGAUGUUUCUCUCCAUGGUGUCGGAGUGUCUGUCCUGCCCCUCUGGCCAUUUCUGUGGUGCAUCUGGCCUCACUGCUCCCUCUGGACCCUGUUCCCCUGGCUACUUCUGUCUGGAAGGAGUCUCCUCCCCAACCCCAGCAGGCCACUCGGAACACGGGGGGCCCUGUCCCCAAGGCCACUUCUGCCCCAGUGGGACCAGCCACCCCAAGCCUUGCCCUGCUGGUUCCUACAGCAACCUGACUGGCCAAGCAUCCUGCUUCCCCUGCCCUGCUGGCUACUACUGCCCUGAGAAUAUCACCACCUAUAGCAGGCACCCCUGCCCUGCUGGCUUCUACUGCCCCCGAGGUGCGUACCCAAGCCAGCACUGCCAGAGGCAAGGCCGAGUAUCGGGGGGUGGUAUAGGCGGCAGGGGGUGUGGAGUGGGGCUCGGGGCAAUGAAGGAUCACACAGAUUGUCCUCUGCUUCUCAGAUUUUCCCACCGCUAGACCCAAAGUCACAAGGAAGAACUGCAUCCUUCACAGAGGCUGAGCCUAAAGCAGCUGGGCUUAAGCAGCAAAUUUCAUAUGUCUUUUGCUCUACCUUAAAGUUACGAGAGUUUUACUUUCUAUUCCAGAACAUAAUCCAUUGGCUAAAAAAUAAAGACUUAAAAUUACCAAUGGUACA
rnacentral:lncRNA from 12 species